GCGUGCUCCGGGCGUCGG
rnacentral:snRNA from 1 species